CUGAAAGUCUGCAGAAUGUACAGCACACACGCGUCCAAGCAGCCGGAGCGCUCCAAUUCCCAAGCUGCUCCAACUACAAGUUACUCGAGUCGCGAUGGACGCACUGCAGCCGAGCCCACAGAGCCUGGCAAUCUAACUCAGGUGCAGCUGCCCGCCACGGACCACGUCCAACGCUCCUAUGUGGAGCAGCGUGCCCUUCCCACUUCCGACUAUUCCGCGCGCUCCCAGCUAGAACAGUCCAAUCUCAACACAGAGCGAUUCAUGCAGCAGCGGGCGCCGCCGCCUAAUCCAGACUAUAACAGAUCCCGAGCCAGCUUGGAGCGCACCGAUUACACCGCUAAAGAACGCACCAGCACUACCACCAACAACAACAGCAACAAUUACACCGACUAUGUGCUCAAGGAGCGAUCCAAUCCAAACUAUGUUUUGCCAUCGCAGAUGCGUCCAGCUGCGGGCCCACCACAGCACCGUCCGCCCUUUGCGGGCGCACGUCCAAUGGUGGGCGUGGGGCCGCGUCCACCGCUGCCGCCCAAUAUGGCGGGCAGGCCCAUGCCGCCGCCGCUGCGACCAACCGACAGCAAAAGCAACUUGCUCAUGGGCCCGCCACCACCAGCCAUGCGGCCGGGCAUGCCGCCCGCGCGUAUGCCCAACCAGGGCGGACCACUCAGCCCACCAGGCCAGGGCGCGCCCAGGCCGCAGGGCGGGUUUCCCUGGUCAGCGGGGGGCAUGCCGCCGCCGCCGGGCGCACGUCCGCCACAGAACAUGACGCGACCGCCGCCGCCUACAUUUGCGCGACCCAUGCCAGGGCAGCCGCUGCAGGCGCCCUUCCGACCGCCGCUCUACAACCAGCAGCAGCAGCACCAGCAGCAACAGCAGCAGCACCAGCAGCAAUUGCAACAGCUGCAGCAGCAACAACAAUUGCAGCAGCCACAACAACAGCAGCAUCAACCACGCCCACCCUCAGCCAGCAGCGUGCACAAUGAGGAUGACGAUGACGUCAUCAUGGGUCAGGCCUUAACCCCGCUCAAGAGCUACAACAUGAAGGCUGAUCCCAUGGGCUCCCCACUGCUAGAGGAAACAGAGCCACCAUUCGAAGCCACGUCGCCAACAGAUGCAUUGCCCAAGCCACAGGGCGGUUACAAGGGUGACAAUGACAGCGGCGUGGAUGAGUCGACUCAGGAGAAGGAUCGCAACGGACCGCAUUCGCCCAGUUCGCCGGUCAAGACGCCCACAUCGAGCUCAUCGAAGCCAGACAAGUCGGGCAUAUCGCGCCCUCCGAGUGCCACGCCCUCAAAUAAAUCAGCAUCCAAGUCGCGCAGCGCCUCCAAGAAUCGCUUGCUGCUGAAGACGCCCGAGCCUGAGCCGGCCAAGAAAGUUCCAAUGAACAAGGUACAGGUUGGACAUGCACCUUCGCCCAAUCUGAAGGCGGUACGCUCCAAAAUUGGGUCGCUGGACAAUGCUACCUAUAAGCCCGGCGGCGGUCAUGUUAAAAUUGAGUCCAAGAAAAUUGAAAUUAAGGCAGCGCCACGCAUCGAGGCCAAGAAUGACAAGUAUAUGCCCAAGGGUGGCGAAAAGAAGAUAGUAACAACCAAGUUGCAGUGGAAUGCAAAAUCGAAAAUUGGUUCGCUGGAGAAUGCCGCCUAUAAGCCUGGCGGCGGCGAUAAAAAGAUCGAGUCCCUCAAAAUGGACUUCAAGGACAAGGCCAAGCCGAAGGUCGGCUCCAAGGACAAUGUGAAGCAUCAGCCCGGUGGCGGCGAUAUCAAGGAUAACAACACAAAGAAUAUACAAUCGCAAAAAAUAGAAAUUAAGGCACAAAGCAAAGUUGGCUCUAUGGAUAAUGUUAAGCACAAGCCCGGUGGCGGUGAGAAGAAGAUUUUCGAUGAUAAGGAUUAUUUGAAAAAUGUUGAACACUCUGUUGCACUGACAACACCACCAACACAGUUAUGAAACGAUGCGAUUGUAUGCCAUAUUUUCGUAUUACUCUCACGAUUAAAGUCCUAGUCCACAACCAUCCAUGACGGCUUCAACAAGCGGCGCUGAUGAAAAUUUAAAUCAACAAAGUUAAAUCAAGUCCAAAAAUGCAUGUUGAGCUGAAGUUUUACUUUCGUUUGAUGCAAAUUUGCAAAUUACAUAAAUUACAAAAGAAAAAAAAACUAAAUUUAAAAAAAAAAUAACAAACAAAAACAAUUUUGAACAAAGCUUAUUUGAAAAAUGUAAUUUUAAGCAAAAGUUACACAAAAUGAAAUAUAUGCAAUAAUUACCAAACAAUACGAGUAUUUACUCAAAAAUUUCAUAAUUAAAUUGUGCAAGCACACAACACACACACACACAUACACACACUCCGUUACAAAAAUAAAAUAAAUAAAUUAUAUGAUUAGUUGAUCUAUGCACUAUUUAUCAAUCAGAUACCAAGGCAAAUGCAUAAACUAUAUAAAUCUAUAUAUACAAACAAUAAGCAAAUUUCAUAUACUACAACAAACAUAUAUAUUAACAAACAAAAAAAAGCAAAUAAUAAAAGAAAGUAUCUAAAGUAUUAAGAAAUUAUUCAAAGCAUAAACAGUUAGUUAUUUGCAUAUAUAUAUAUCAACUGUGUGCUUUACGUGUAGUUAAAUGUGUUUAAAAAUAAAAUGAAAAGUGAAACAUGAAAACUAUCAGAUACAAGUUCGAAAUUCAUACACAAAUUUAGAUACUUUUACUUUUUGCAAAAAAAACCGCAACCGAUUCGAGUACCACAAUUUAAGCAUACAUAUUAUAUGAUAUAUAUUUUAUAAUUUGUACGAGUAAACAUAAUAAUUAGACAAAUGCAUCAUUCUCACAAUUUAUUUACAUCACUCUCCUUUGUUACGAAAAUGUAAGAACAAAAAAUGCGAAUUUUAAGCGUAAUAAAACAAAACUUUUUUCAUUUACCAAUA